UACGAAGGGGGCUAGCGUUGUUCGGAAUCACUGGGCGUAAAGCGCACGUAGGCGGAUGUGCCAGUCAGGGGUGAAAUCCCGGAGCUCAACUCCGGAACUGCCUCUGAUACAGCACGUCUUGAGUUCGAGAGAGGUGGGUGGAAUUCCUAGUGUAGAGGUGAAAUUCGUAGAUAUUAGGAAGAACACCGGUGGCGAAGGCGGCCCACUGGCUCGAUACUGACGCGUGAGGUGGCGAAAAGCGUGGG
rnacentral:rRNA from 1 species